AAGUCGUAACAAGGUUUCCGUAGGUGAACCUGCGGAAGGAUCAUUAUCGGCGUUUGGGGCUCUCGCUUUGCGAUCCCCUCACCCCCAACCCUCUGUUUACCCUACUAUAUUCUUCGGCGAGUGUGUGCUGUUUGUUGGUAGGAGGUACCCCUUUAUGCGGUGCUAAAUCCAGCUAACGGCGCCCCGCCGGCGUUCAAAAACCUGCCUUUUUAUAACGGUGAAGUCUGAGCGUUUGUAAAACAAAAUUAGUAAAAACUUUCAACAACGGAUCUCUUGGUUCUG
rnacentral:misc_RNA from 1 species